CAUUGAGCCUGUGGGUAGGGGCGGCUGGAGACCGCCUCCCGCGCGGUCCCUCUACCUGCUGGGGGCGGGGAGGAAGAAAGGCGGGCUCCAAGCGAGUGGGUGAGUCACUCCUGUCCCUUGGGUUAGGAGCGUCAGGACUUCUCUCCUUUCCCGGGGUCUGCGCAUCGGCUCCAGUUCUGCGACUUCCUCAGCUACUCUCCUGGGCGGCGCGAUUCCCAUCUGAGGCUGGACCAGUCCUUUCCUUGUAAGUGAGGUCUAGGAUCUUCAUUAAGAUUCCAUCUUACUAAAUUAUCAUCACAGUCCAUUCCUGACUUCUGGAGUAAAUAUCCUGACUUUCUCCAUAAAGUUUGGACUACUUACAAUCUCUU
rnacentral:lncRNA from 1 species